rnacentral:rRNA from 1 species
CGAAAGCCUGACGGAGCAAGACCGCGUGAGGGAAGAAGGCUCUUGGGUCGUAAACCUCUUUUAUCAGGGAAGAAAAAAUGACGGUACCUGAAGAAUCAGCCUCGGCUAACUCCGUGCCAGCAGCCGCGGUAAUACGGAGGAGGCAAGCGUUAUCCGGAAUUAUUGGGCGUAAAGCGUCCGCAGGUGGCUUAUCAAGUCUGCUGUCAAAGAGUGGGGCUUAACCCCAUCAAGGCAGUGGAAACUGAGAAGCUAGGGUGCCGUAGGGGUAGAGGGAAUUCCCGGUGUAGCGGUGAAAUGCGUAGAGAUCGGGAAGAACAUCGGUGGCGAAAGCGCUCUACUGGACGGCAACUGACACUCAGGGACGAAAGCU